CUCUGGUUUUUGCCGGUUCACCAACACAUGCGUCUUCGCGCAUGCAGCUGCUGCCACGGGCUCAACGGUGCUGCUCUGCCUCUGCUACCUCAACUGCGACGCCGAUGGUUCAGUGAGUCACCCCUCCUCUCUGCUCUUAUCUCUCUGGUCCUUUCUGGCGUGGCUACCUAAAGUUUUGCCGUCGUGGCGUUGUAGAUCACGGCUGGAUACAACAACAACCGCGGCCACUCUCAACAUGGUGGCUUCCAUUAUUCUGUUUGGGAUUUGGUGCCCCAGAUUCUUAAACGUUCCACUUGUGCAUGGGUG
rnacentral:lncRNA from 1 species